CCUACGGGAGGCAGCAGUGAGGGAUAUUGGUCAAUGGGGGAAACCCUGAACCAGCAACGCCGCGUGAGGGAAGACGGUUUUCGGAUUGUAAACCUCUGUCCUCUGUGAAGAUAAUGACGGUACCUGAGUAAGAAGCCCCGGCUAACUACGUGCCAGCAGCCGCGGUAAUACGUAGGGGGCAAGCGUUAUCCGGAUUUACUGGGUGUAAAGGGAGCGUAGACGGUGAGACAAGUCUGAAGUGAAAGCCCGGGGCUCAACCCCGGGACUGCUUUGGAAACUGCCUGACUGGAGUGCUGGAGAGGCAAGCGGAAUUCCUAGUGUAGCGGUGAAAUGCGUAGAUAUUAGGAAGAACACCAGUGGCGAAGGCGGCUUGCUGGACAGUAACUGACGUUGAGGCUCGAAAGCGUGGGGAGCAAACAGGAUUAGAUACCCUUGUAGUC
rnacentral:rRNA from 1 species